AGAGUUUGAUCCUGGCUCAGGAUGAACGCUGGCGGCGUGCCUAACACAUGCAAGUCGAGCGAGAAGCUCAUGACGGACGCUUCGGUUGAAGUCACGAGUUGAAAGCGGCGGACGGGUGAGUAACGCGUAGGCAACCUGCCCUUUGCAGAGGGAUAGCCUCGGGAAACCGGGAUUAAAACCUCAUAAUACCGCAGUGAGACAUCUCACGGCGGUCAAAGAUUUAUCGGCAAAGGAUGGGCCUGCGUCUGAUUAGUUAGUUGGUGGGGUAACGGCCUACCAAGGCGACGAUCAGUAGCCGACCUGAGAGGGUGAUCGGCCACAUUGGAACUGAGACACGGUCCAAACUCCUACGGGAGGCAGCAGUGGGGAAUAUUGCACAAUGGGGGAAACCCUGAUGCAGCAACGCCGCGUGAAGGAUGAAGGCCUUUGGGUCGUAAACUUCUGUUCUAAGGGAAGAUAGUGACGGUACCUUAGGAGCAAGUCCCGGCUAACUACGUGCCAGCAGCCGCGGUAAUACGUAGGGGGCAAGCGUUAUCCGGAAUUAUUGGGCGUAAAGAGUACGUAGGUGGUUUUCUAAGCACGGGGUUUAAGGCAAUGGCUUAACCAUUGUUCGCCUUGUGAACUGGAAGACUUGAGUGCAGGAGAGGAGAGCGGAAUUCCUAGUGUAGCGGUGAAAUGCGUAGAUAUUAGGAGGAACACCAGUGGCGAAGGCGGCUUUCUGGACGACAACUGACGCUGAGGCGCGAAAGUGUGGGGAGCAAACAGGAUUAGAUACCCUGGUAGUCCACACCGUAAACGAUGGAUACUAGGUGUAGGAGGUAUCGACCCCUUCUGUGCCGCAGUUAACACAAUAAGUAUCCCACCUGGGGAGUACGACCGCAAGGUUGAAACUCAAAGGAAUUGACGGGGGCCCGCACAAGCAGUGGAGUAUGUGGUUUAAUUCGAAGCAACGCGAAGAACCUUACCUGGGCUUGACAUCCCUGGAAUCGAGUAGAGAUACUUGAGUGCCUUCGGGAAUCAGGUGACAGGUGGUGCAUGGUUGUCGUCAGCUCGUGUCGUGAGAUGUUGGGUUAAGUCCCGCAACGAGCGCAACCCCUAUUGUCAGUUGCCAUCAUUAAGUUGGGCACUCUGGCGAGACUGCCGGUGACAAAUCGGAGGAAGGUGGGGACGACGUCAAAUCAUCAUGCCCCUUAUGCCCAGGGCUACACACGUACUACAAUGGCCGAUAACAAAGUGCAGCGAAACCGUGAGGUGGAGCGAAUCACAAAACUCGGUCUCAGUUCAGAUUGCAGGCUGCAACUCGCCUGCAUGAAGUUGGAAUUGCUAGUAAUCGCGGAUCAGAAUGCCGCGGUGAAUACGUUCCCGGGCCUUGUACACACCGCCCGUCACACCAUGAGAGUCGAUAACACCCGAAGCCUGUGAGCUAACCUUUUAGGAGGCAGCAGUCGAAGGUGGGGUUGAUGAUUGGGGUGAAGUC
rnacentral:rRNA from 1 species